rnacentral:rRNA from 1 species
UACGUAGGUGACCAGCGUUGUCCGGAUUUACUGGGCGUAAAGAGCGCGCAGGCGGUCGUUCAAGUCGAGUGUGAAAGCCCCCGGCUCAACUGGGGAGGGUCACUCGAUACUGAUCGACUUGAAGGCAGGAGAGGGAAGUGGAAUUCCCGGUGUAGUGGUGAAAUGCGUAGAUAUUGGGAGGAACACCAGUGGCGAAGGCGGCUCACUGGACUGGUACUGACGCUGAGGCGCGAAAGCGUGGGGAGCAAACGGG